CCUUAAGUCAACUUAUUUCUUUUCCCCUCGUGCACUUAAAACAAAAAAAAAAUUUAAUUUUUCAGUUUGUUCUAUGAUAAUCCUGGAAAGAUUUGCCUCCUAAUCCACAACGUAAAUAAGAAAGAUGCCGGUUGGUACACAGUAUCUGCAGUCAACGAGGCAGGAGUGGCCACAUGCCACUGCAGACUGGAUGUUGCAACUCACACAUACAAGCCAAUUCCAACCCCCAAGCAGUUGAAGGUUCGACCGACUUUUAGCAAAUACCUGGCAUUCAAUAGUAAAGGACUGGAUGUGAAACCAGCUUUCUCACCAGAAGGAGAGUUUGAACGGCUGGCUGCUCAGUCUGGACUGUAUGAAAGUGAUGAACUUUAAUGUGAAAAGAGGAAGAAAAUGCACUUACGUAACAGACCCAUAUCCUAACUCCACAUAUAUGCAGUUAAGUGGCAGUUGCUCUAACUAGCAAACAUACCUUCAUAUUUUAUUUAUAAUUUGACUCGUGCACAUAUUUCCUGCUGUUCUGAUUUUACCAAGGUAGUACUCUAUUUGUAUGGAUUGGUGACUAUAGCAGAUAACGCUCAACUGUUGUAUUUUAACUGUAAAGCCUAAGAAGCCAGGGCAGCUGGUGAUUGAUGAAAGUGUAGGUUUAACUACAUCUAUGCUCAGUUACAAGGAAAAGCAUGUUUAUUUGUACUGCUUUAAUAUCACCACUCUCAGUAACACAACUUUGUGCUGCCUGAAUACUAAAACCAAAUAGAUUUGAAUGUUUUUAUGUGGAUUUAUGUCAAAUGCAAAUAAAGUACUAAAUAUAAAAUA